CUAGCGACUUCAGAGUUUGAUCCUGGCUCAGGAUGAACGCUGGCGGCGUGCCUAAGACAUGCAAGUCGAGCGGGUUUAGACCCGCGGCAAACGGGUGAGUAAUACCCAGGAACGUACCUUUAGUUGAGCAUAACCCACCGAAAGGUGGAGCAAUUCUCAAUGUGAUCGCAAGAUUAAAGCAGCAAUGCGCUAAAGAAGCGGCCUGGGCACCAUCAGCUAGUUGGUAAGGUAAAAGCUUACCAAGGCUAUGACGGUUAGGGGCCCCGAGAGGGGAAACCUCCACACUGGAACUGAGACACGGUCCAG
rnacentral:rRNA from 1 species